UCCUCCUUCCCUCCCUCCCUCCCUUCUUCCUCACGAACCGGCUUCGCUUCCCGCACCGCCGCCGCCUCAAGCCCGGCCGCGCGUCCCCGGCGGGACCCUCGCAGCGCACUUUUUUUGCGUCCCUUCUUUUCCUUUUCCUUUAGCGGUGGAGGUCGGAAAAGGGAGAAGAAAAAAAAAACUUUAAGAAAAAUAACUCCCGAUAUCCUGGCGGAAAAUGAGCUCUUUGCUCGCGCUUUUUUACUAUUAUUUUAUUUUAUUUAAAUUUUUAAACAUUUUUUCAAAUUUAAAAAAAAAAAAACCCAACUGACAAAAUGGCGGCGGGGGCGAGCCUGUUGCCGUGGCAACUGUCAAUCACCCGCGGCCGGGCGGGAGACGGCGCUGACGUGUGGGGAGGCAAGGGCGGGCCGCGCUCGCCAUGGCAACGGCUCCUUCCCCCUCCUUCCCGAUCCGUGCCCGCCCGCCCAACGGCGUGUGACGGUGGCGGCGGCGCUGCGGGCCGGGAUGGCCCCGGCAGGGCGGGGAAGGGGAGCGGCCGCCAUUCCCGGUGAUGAGGGGAGACCCGGCGGUGCCGGCCCCGGCCCGGCCCGCAGGGGGCGCCGGGAGCGCGGGGCUGAGGGCUGAGCCCGCCGGCGCUUCCCGCCCGCCGCCUGUGGGGAGGGACGGGGCCGGGCUCGGCCCCCUCGGAAAGCGAGGCGUUCUCGAUAAACCAUUCAAAAAACGCACUGGAAGUGGCUGCGCUUAAGGCCAUUCCUGUUUGUUUUGUCUCCAUAGUCCCUUGUGAAAAGUCCCUCUGCAGACACAGGGAAGAGCAGGGGAAUCAUGGCACCACCCCAGGAGUGACAGUGAGGUGUUAGAAAUCUGUCAGGUUUGAAGUUGUCCAGUGGCCUUGAUAAGGUUGGCAAAUCUAUGGAGAUGGAAAAGAUUUCACUGAGCAGCUGCUGCACAAGAAACUCUCUGAGGCAGGGGCUGCACCAAACCACUUCUGUGCUCUGUGCUAACAGCAUUGCCCAUAAACCCUUUCCUUUCUGACAAUGAAAUUACCAUAACUCCAGGAACUUGUGUGGCACAGUGCUGGGAUUUGCUGAUUUCUCCACCAAAAAGAAUGGAUUUCAAUUUACUUCCUGUUAUUCAGGGCAUCACUUCUUUCUCCUCUUCCCUCCUUGGUGUUAAAGAACAGCCUUUCCCACCCAGGUGCUCUAAAAAAUAAAUUGUCAAAUAUGCUUAUGGAAACCAUGGAAUGAUCCCAAAAUUGUCCAACACAUGAACAAGAUUUGAAAUUUUCAUCUCUGACUCCUCAAAGUGUAGAUUUUGUCAUGACUUUGUAUAAACUGUAGAACUUCUCCCACUGAAUUCCUUAAGUCAAAUCCCAUCCAAUCAAAAUCAUUCUGUGUCCUCCAAACAAAGAUUUCAAAACUAAUAAAUAAAACCCAAAAAACAGAAAAAAAAAAGUUUGGGUAACCCCAGCUUCCCUAUGGUUAUUCCAAAUGAGGAAUGCUGUUAUUCUAAACCAAUCAAUCCAUAAAUUUUAGCUCUGGGUUGAGGCAAAUAUAGAAAUUGAAUUAUUUUAAACAAUUUAACUCUAUUUGUUAAAGGAUGUCCCAGAAAUAAUCAGGUAGAAAAGUGGAAGGAGGCUGGAACUGGAUGAUCUUUAAAGUCCCUUCCAACUCAAACCAUUCCAUUAGGAUUCUAUGAUAAUCAGGAAUAAAAAC